AAAAACUCCGGUGGUGUGAGAUGGAUCCGCGUCUGAUUAGCCAGUUGGCGGGGUAACGGCCCACCAAAGCGACGAUCAGUAGCCGGCCUGAGAGGGUGACCGGCCACAUUGGGACUGAGACACGGCCCAAACUCCUACGGGAGGCAGCAGUGGGGAAUAUUGCACAAUGGGCGAAAGCCUGAUGCAGCGACGCCGCGUGAGUGAAGAAGUAUUUCGGUAUGUAAAGCUCUAUCAGCAGGGAAGAAAAUGACGGUACCUGACUAAGAAGCCCCGGCUAACUACGUGCCAGCAGCCGCGGUAAUACGUAGGGGGCAAGCGUUAUCCGGAUUUACUGGGUGUAAAGGGAGCGUAGACGGCGAAGCAAGUCUGAAGUGAAAACCCAGGGCUCAACCCUGGGACUGCUUUGGAAACUGUUUUGCUAGAGUGUCGGAGAGGUAAGUGGAAUUCCUAGUGUAGCGGU
rnacentral:rRNA from 1 species